UUCCAGGAGGAAGAAGACACAAAACCGAAGCCUACCAAGAGGAAACGGAAAGGGUCCUCUGCAGUGGGGUCUGACAGUGACUGAGUCCCCGUGUUCCUCCAUCCCACCCCCAGUUGGACUGCCCUCCCCUCCGUGGUGAAUCAGAGGUUAAUAAGGGCUGGGGAGAUAGUGGGGAGACACCCUCUCCCUCUGCCCAAGGCUCGCCUGGUGGGAAGGAUGAGCUGCUUCCUUUGGCUCAGCCUGAGAAGCUCCCAUGCAGCCCCAGCCCCUGCUCCCUCCUGUCCAGGCGCCUCCAGCCCCGUCACACUGCUGCUCCCACCGACUUGGGUCCCCCUGAAGCCAGAGGCUGUGUGAAAUCUGGGCUGGUGCAGGUCCUCAGCCCCUGCCCCUCCCCAGCCUCCCAAAGAGAAGAGAAAUGGCAGAUGGGGCUUGCUGGUCAGAGAGGCCAGGAUGGGAGUGAAGACAGUGUAUGGAUGCCCCUUCCACAUGUUCCCCGUCUGGCCUUGAUUUGCUCCUAACAGGCAUUUUAUAGUUGCUCUCCAUCCUCCCGUGUGAAAUGGGCAUUUCAUCAGUGAUGUGGUCCAGCUGCCUGCCUGUUCCUCAACAUGGGGCAGAUGCCAUAAGAGUUCAGGCAGGGACUGAGGGGAGAGGGAGGCCAGAGCCCUUGGGACUCCCAGAGAGAGACUUCCACAGAACUGUCAAAUGGUCCCAUUUCCUCCGUUCUGUCUUUUUGGGGUUUUUUGUUUGUUUGUUUGUUUGUUUUUUUGGCAGAGAUAAUCGCGUUUUAAAAGUUUUUAAAUGACAAUAAAACAAGCCAGAACCUCUUUUGUGCUGGAGUUGCUGGCCCAGGUGCUCUUACCCUAUGCACCUAACUGGUUGCCCCCACUCCCCUGGUGGCCUCAGAACUUCCCCUUUUCCCUUCCUGAACACCCCCUUGUCUGGAGCAGGAGGGACUUUUUGCUGCCCCCCUCCUGCCCAAACUUCCUGUUGCCACUGGGGCUGUGGGCCAGGCACUGACCUGUCCAGGCACCAUCUCCCGUGAAGUUGAACCCUACUUCUCUGUCAAGAAACUAGAGGCUCCCGAAAUCUGUCCCCUGUGUCCCAGCAGAAAAGAAUCCCCUAGGCUGCCCAGGAGGCUGGGUGGCCGACAGAAGAGAGAGGAGUGAGGUCUUGGCGGAGGACAGAGGGCUCCUGCAGAAUCCAGUGUCCCCUUCUUCAAAGCUGUUAUUCCUUCCUUUAAAAGUCUUAGUCGCAGGAGGCCUCUUCCUCUCCCCUUCCCGUUCUCUCUGCCCCAAUUAAAACCAGGAUGGAAAGCA